CUACGGGUUGCUCCAGUCGAGAAUCUUCCGCAAUGGGCGAAAGCCUGACGGAGCGACGCCGCGUGAAGGAAGAAGGACUUCGGUCUGUAAACUUCUUUUAGUUGGGAAGAACUUUGACGGUACCAACUGAAUAAGGGGCCGCUAAUCUCGUGCCAGCAGCGGCGGUAAUACGAGAGCCCCAAGCGUUAUCCGGAAUUACUGGGCGUAAAGCGCGCGUAGCCGGAUCAGUUAGUCUGAUGUUAAAUCCCGGGGCUUAACUCCGGAACCGCAUUGGAAACGGCUGAUCUAGAGCGCAUCAGAGGCACACGGAACGUGCAGUGGAGGGGUGAAAUCCGUUGAUAUUGCACGGAACACCAAAGGCGAAGGCAGUGUGCUGGGAUGUUGCUGACGGUGAGGUGCGAAAGCGUGGGGAUAAAAAAGGAUUAGAUACCCUCGUAGUC
rnacentral:rRNA from 1 species